rnacentral:rRNA from 1 species
AGUGAACGCUGGCGGUAGGCCUAACACAUGCAAGUCGAACGGCAGCACAGUAAGAGCUUGCUCUUACGGGUGGCGAGUGGCGGACGGGUGAGGAAUACAUCGGAAUCUACUUUUUCGUGGGGGAUAACGUAGGGAAACUUACGCUAAUACCGCAUACAACCUACGGGUGAAAGCAGGGGAUCUUCGGACCUUGCGCGAUUGAAUGAGCCGAUGUCGGAUUAGCUAGUUGGCGGGGUAAAGGCCCACCAAGGCGACGAUCCGUAGCUGGUCUGAGAGGAUGAUCAGCCACACUGGAACUGAGACACGGUCCAGACUCCUACGGGAGGCAGCAGUGGGGAAUAUUGGACAAUGGGCGCAAGCCUGGUCCAGCCAUACCGCGUGGGUGAAGAAGGCCUUCGGGUUGUAAAGCCCUUUUGUUGGGAAAGAAAAGCAGCAGGUUAAUACCCCGCUGUUCUGACGGUACCCAAAGAAUAAGCACCGGCUAACUUCGUG